GUCUUAUCAAGAGUGGUGGAGGGACUGGCCCUUUGAAACCCGGCAACCAGUAUAUUUUAUAUACAUUGGUGCUAAAUCCUGCAACUAAUAUAGUUGAUAGAUGAGUA
rnacentral:ncRNA from 14 species